rnacentral:rRNA from 1 species
AUUGAACGCUGGCGGCAGGCCUAACACAUGCAAGUCGAACGAGUGGCGGACGGGUGAGUAAUGUCUGGGAAACUGCCUGAUGGAGGGGGAUAACUCCUGGAAACGGUAGCUAAUACCGCAUACCAUCGGAUGUGCCCAGAUGGGAUUAGCUAGUAGGUGGGGUAAAGGCUCACCUAGGCGACGCUCCCUAGCUGUUCGGAGAGGAUGACCAGCCACACUGGAACUGAGACAAGGUCCAGACUCGUACGGGAGGCAGAAGUGGGGAAUAUUGCACAAUGGGGGCAAGCCUGAUGCAGCCAUGCCGCGUGUAUGAAGAAGGCCUUCGGGUUGUAAAGUACUUUCAGCGGGGAGGCGUUACCCGCAGAAGAAGCACCGGCUAACUCCGUGCCAGCAGCCGCGGUAAUUC